AUUGAACGCUGGCGGCAGGCCUAACACAUGCAAGUCGAACGAGUGGCGGACGGGUGAGUAAUGCUUGGGAAUCUGGCUUAUGGAGGGGGAUAACGACGGGAAACUGUCGCUAAUACCGCGUACCAUAGGAUGAGCCCAAGUGGGAUUAGGUAGUUGGUGGGGUAAUGGCCUACCAAGCUGACGAUCUCUAGCUGGUCUGAGAGGAUGACCAGCCACACCGGGACUGAGAGACGGCCCGGACUCCUACGGGAGGCAGCAGUGGGGAAUAUUGCGCAAUGGGGGAAACCCUGACGCAGCCAUGCCGCGUGUCUGAAGAAGGCCUUCGGGUUGUAAAGGACUUUUGUUAGGGAAGCGGUACCUAAAGAAUAAGCACCGGCUAACUACGUGCCAGCAGCCGCGGUAAUAC
rnacentral:rRNA from 1 species